CAGUCGCCGCGGGAAUACGUAGGUGGCAAGCGUUGUCCGGAAUUAUUGGGCGUAAAGGGCUCGCAGGCGGUUUCUUAAGUCUGAUGUGAAAGCCCCCGGCUCAACCGGGGAGGGUCAUUGGAAACUGGGAAACUUGAGUGCAGAAGAGGAGAGUGGAAUUCCACGUGUAGCGGUGAAAUGCGUAGAUAUGUGGAGGAACACCAGUGGCGAAGGCGACUCUCUGGUCUGUAACUGACGCUGAGGAGCGAAAGCGUGGGGAGCGAACAGGAUUAGAUACCCGUGUAGUCCCUGUCUCUUAUAC
rnacentral:rRNA from 1 species